rnacentral:rRNA from 1 species
UACGUAGGGGGCAAGCGUUAUCCGGAAUUACUGGGUGUAAAGGGAGCGUAGACGGUAAUGUAAGUCUGGAGUGAAAGGCGGGGGCCCAACCCCCGGACUGCUCUGGAAACUAUGUUACUAGAGUGCAGGAGAGGUAAGCGGAAUUCCUAGUGUAGCGGUGAAAUGCGUAGAUAUUAGGAGGAACACCAGUGGCGAAGGCGGCUUACUGGACUGUAAAUGACGCUGAGGCUCGAAAGCGUGGGGAGCAAACAGG